rnacentral:rRNA from 1 species
UACGUAGGGUGCGAGCGUUAAUCGGAAUUACUGGGCGUAAAGCGUGCGCAGGCGGUAAGUUAAGUCUGAUGUGAAAGCCCCGGGCUCAACCUGGGAAUGGCAUUGGAAACUGGCUUGCUAGAGUGUGGCAGAGGGGGGUGGAAUUCCGCGUGUAGCAGUGAAAUGCGUAGAGAUGCGGAGGAACACCGAUGGCGAAGGCAGCCCCCUGGGUCAAGAUUGACGCUCAUGCACGAAAGCGUGGGGAGCAAACAGG